UGGGGAAUAUUGGGCAAUGAGCGAAAGCCUGACCCAGCAACGCCGCGUGAAGGAAGAAGGUUUUCGGAUUGUAAACUUCUGUCUUCAGGGAAGAAGGAAGUGACGGUACCUGAGGAGGAAGCCCCGGCUAACUACGUGCCAGCAACCGCGGUAAUACGUAGGGGGCGAGCGUUGUCCGGAAUGACUGGGCGUAAAGGGCGCGUAGACGGCUUUUUAAGUCUGGAGUGAAAGUCCUGCUUUCAAGGUGGGAAUUGCUUUGGAGACUGGGAGGCUUGAGUGCGGAAGAGGUAAGUGGAAUUCCCAGUGUAGCGGUGAAAUGCGUAGAGAUUGGGAGGAACACCAGUGGCGAAGGCGACUUACUGGGCCGUAACUGACGUUGAUGCGCGAAAGCGUGGGGAGCGAACAG
rnacentral:rRNA from 1 species